rnacentral:rRNA from 1 species
GGUGGCGUGCUUUAUACAUGCAAGUCGAGCGGGAGACAGCUUGAAGCAGAAGAUGAGUAAUUCACACUUUGUGUGGAUUAUGAGUUUUCUGUGAUGGCUAAUCUUAGCGGCGAACGGGUGAGUAACGCGUGGAUAAUCUACCCUUGAGACCGGGAUAACAUCUCGAAAGGGGUGCUAAUACCGGAUGAAGUUACAGAAAGCGAUUUCUGUAACCAAAGUUGGAUCUUCAAAGCCCUUCGCUCAAGGAUGAGUCCGCGUCCUAUUAGCUAGUUGGUGAGGUAAAGGCUCACCAAGGCAAUAAUGGGUAGCCGGCCUGAGAGGGUGUACGGCCACACUGGGACUGAGACACGGCCCAGACUCCUACGGGAGGCAGCAGUAGGGAAUCUUCCGCAAUGGGCGAAAGCCUGACGGAGCGACGCCACGUGGAUGAUGAAGGCCUUCGGGUCGUAAAAUCCUGUCAGGGGGGACGAUGGUCGAUCUUCGGAUUGACUGACGGUACCCCCAGAGGAAGCUCCGGCCAACUACGUGCCAGCAGCCGCGGUAACACGUAGGGAGCAAGCGUUGUUCGGAUUUACUGGGCGUAAAGCGUGCGUAGGCGGUUAUAUA